CACAGCAGAAAUAGCCACUCGAUACUCCCACUUCCUCACUUUCAGAUACAGCACAGGUCUGAUCACAGCCAGGUAACGCUCCAUACACAUACAGGACAGCAGCAGCGGGCAGCCAAUCAGGUUCAACAUAUUGAAGGCAUCUCUUGCCACGUGCACCGGAUUUGUAGUGUUGGGUUCUUGCCAGUUGGAGGGGAAAAAGUCUAAUGGAGAAAAAAUGAUACGAGAGCAUGAAAGACAGGUAGACAAGAUCCAUCACAACGAUAUUCACACCAAGAACCUGAAAGACAAAGGUUCAGACAGGCAGUUCAGGAAGAGCCAAAGCAGGACGGUGUUAGCUAACGCUCCCGUGACCAGGAUGAAAAUGUCAACGAUGAACCAGAUGUCAUCCCAUGCUGUACUGCCACAGUAUGUGUCGAUGGCUUCGAGAAUUCUUUCUUUUACCAUAUUGCUGAAAAUGCAAUGACAGGACACGAGAGGCUGGAAAUCUCUGUUGCUGUCAAACCUCAACAAAACCUGCCAAAUCCAAGAGAGUGAUCAUCAACAUUUGAAGUUAUCUGGUGUCAGAGAUUUGCAUUAGAGUGUAUCUAUAAAUUAAGAGGCAUGAUAAAGAAGAUAGAACAUUUUUGGCUCUUUAAACUUCAAUUCCUCCUCCCCUGUAUUGGGUUUUGAAUAAACUGGGAGAAUUAUUUUUAGAAGAAGUUGUGUCUAUGUGCAU